rnacentral:rRNA from 1 species
ACACAUGCAAGUCGAGCGAAGCACUUAUGAUGAUUCUUCGGAUGAAUCAUUUGUGACUGAGCGGCGGACGGGUGAGUAACGCGUGAGUAACCUGCCUCAUACAGGGGAAUAACAGUUAGAAAUGACUGCUAAUGCCGCAUAAGCGCACAGGGCCGCAUGGCCCGGUGUGAAAAACUCCGGUGGUAUGAGAUGGACUCGCGUCUGAUUAGCUAGUUGGUGAGGUAACGGCCCACCAAGGCGACGAUCAGUAGCCGGCCUGAGAGGGUGAACGGCCACAUUGGGACUGAGACACGGCCCAAACUCCUACGGGAGGCAGCAGUGGGGAAUAUUGCACAAUGGGGGAAACCCUGAUGCAGCGACGCCGCGUGAGUGAAGAAGUAUUUCGGUAUGUAAAGCUCUAUCAGCAGGGAAGAAAAUGACGGUACCUGACUAAGAAGCCCCGGCUAACUAUGUGCCAGCAGCCGCGGUAAUACGUAGGGGGCAAGCGUUAUCCGGAUUUACUGGGUGUAAAGGGAGCGUAGACGGCUUUGCAAGUCUGACGUGAAACUCCGGGGCUCAACUCCGGAACUGCGUUGGAAACUGUAAGGCUUGAGUGCCGGAGAGGUAAGCGGAAUUCCUAGUGUAGCGGUGAAAUGCGUAGAUAUUAGGAGGAACACCAGUGGCGAAGGCGGCUUACUGGACGGCAACUGACGUUGAGGCUCGAAAGCGUGGGGAGCAAACAGGAUUAGAUACCCUGGUAGUCCACGCGGUAAACGAUGAAUACUAGGUGUUGGGGG